AGUGAACGCUGGCGGUAGGCCUAACACAUGCAAGUCGAACGGCAGCACAGGAGAGCUUGCCCUCUGGGUGGCGAGUGGCGGACGGGUGAGGAAUACAUCGGAAUCUGCCCAGUCGUGGGGGAUAACGUAGGGAAACUUACGCUAAUACCGCAUACGACCUUCGGGUGAAAGAGGGGGAUCGCAAGACCUCUCGCGAUUGGAUGAGCCGAUGUCGGAUUAGCUAGUUGGCGGGGUAAUGGCCCACCAAGGCGACGAUCCGUAGCUGGUCUGAGAGGAUGAUCAGCCACACUGGAACUGAGACACGGCCCAGACUCCUACGGGAGGCAGCAGUGGGGAAUAUUGGACAAUGGGCGCAAGCCUGAUCCAGCCAUACCGCGUGGGUGAAGAAGGCCUUCGGGUUGUAAAGCCCUUUUGUUGGGAAAGAAAUCUUUCAGGCUAAUACCCUGGGAGGAUGACGGUACCCAAAGAAUAAGCACCGGCUAACUUCGUG
rnacentral:rRNA from 1 species